GCGAUCAUACCAGCACUAAUGCACCGGAUCUCAUCAGAACUCCGAAGUUAAGCGUGCUUGGGCGAGAGCAGUACUAGUAUUGGUGACCCCCUGGGAAGUCCUCGUGUUGCACCU
rnacentral:rRNA from 1 species